rnacentral:rRNA from 1 species
UGUGUGAGGUACGGCCACCANGCGACGACGGGUAGCUGGUCUGAGAGGACUACCAGCCACACUGGAACUGAGAUACGGUCCAGACUCCUACGGGAGGCAGCAGUGGGGAAUAUUGCACAAUGGGCGAAAGCCUGAUGCAGCGACGCCGCGUGAGGGAUGAAGGCCUUCGGGUCGUAAACCUCUUUCGGCAGGGACGAAGCGAUCAGUGACGGUACCUGCAGAAGAAGCCCCGGCUAACUACGUGCCAGCAGCCGCGGUAAGACGUAGGGGGCGAGCGUUGUCCGGAUUCAUUGGGCGUAAAGCGCGCGUAGGCGGCUGCGCAAGUCGGUUGUGAAAUUCCGGGGCUCAACCCCGGAACUGCGUCCGAUACUGCGUGGCUAGAGGUAGGUAGGGGAGAUCGGAAUUCCUGGUGUAGCGGUGAAAUGCGCAGAUAUCAGGAGGAACACCGGUGGCGAAGGCGGAUCUCUGGGCCUUACCUGACGCUCAGGCGCGAAAGCUAGGGGAGCGAACAGGAUUANAUACCCUGGUAGUCCUAGCCGUAAACGUUGGGUGCUAGGUG